GACGAACGCUGGCGGCGUGCUUAACACAUGCAAGUCGAACGAGUGGCGAACGGGUGAGUAACACGUGAGUAACCUGCCCCUUCUUCUGGAUAACUGCUUGAAAGGGUAGCUAAUACGGGAUAGUGGGGGAUGGGCUCGCGGCCUAUCAGCUUGUUGGUGGGGUGAUGGCCUCCCAAGGCGGUGUCGGGUAGCCGGCCUGGGAGGGUGAACGGCCAAAUUGGGAAUGGGAAACGGGCCAGACUCCUAAGGGAGGCAACAGUGGGGAAUCUUCCGAAAUGGACGAAAAGCUGACGGAGCAACGCCGCGUGAGUGAUGAAGGCCUUCGGGUUGUAAAGCUCUGUUAAUCGGGAAGCGGUACCGGAAUAGAAAGCCACGGCUAACUACGUGCCAGCAGCCGCGGUAAUAC
rnacentral:rRNA from 1 species